AGUGAACGCUGGCGGCAGGCCUAACACAUGCAAGUCGAACGGCAGCACAGGAGAGCUUGCUCUCUGGGUGGCGAGUGGCGGACGGGUGAGGAAUACAUCGGAAUCUACCUUUUCGUGGGGGAUAACGUAGGGAAACUUACGCUAAUACCGCAUACGACCUACGGGUGAAAGUGGGGGACCGCAAGGCCUCACGCGAUUAGAUGAGCCGAUGUCCGAUUAGCUAGUUGGCGGGGUAAUGGCCCACCAAGGCGACGAUCGGUAGCUGGUCUGAGAGGAUGAUCAGCCACACUGGAACUGAGACACGGUCCAGACUCCUACGGGAGGCAGCAGUGGGGAAUAUUGGACAAUGGGCGCAAGCCUGAUCCAGCCAUACCGCGUGGGUGAAGAAGGCCUUCGGGUUGUAAAGCCCUUUUGUUGGGAAAGAAAUCCUGUCGAUUAAUACUCGGUGGGGAUGACGGUACCCAAAGAAUAAGCACCGGCUAACUUCGUGCCAGCCGCCGCCGUAAAAC
rnacentral:rRNA from 1 species